rnacentral:rRNA from 1 species
CCUACGGGAGGCAGCAGUAGGGAAUUUUCGUCAAUGGGCGCGAGCCUGAACCAGCCAAGUCGCGUGAGGGAGGACGGCCCUACGGGUUGUAAACCUCUUUUGCCGGGGAGCAACGGGCGUCACGUGUGGCGCCACUGAGAGUACCCGGAGAAAAAGCAUCGGCUAACUCCGUGCCAGCAGCCGCGGUAAUACGGGGGAUGCGAGCGUUAUCCGGAUUUAUUGGGUUUAAAGGGUGCGUAGGCGGAUCGUUAAGUCAGUGGUCAAAUUGAGGGGCUCAACCCCUUCCCGCCAUUGAAACUGGCGUUCUUGAGUGGAAGAGAAGUAUGCGGAAUGCGUGGUGUAGCGGUGAAAUGCAUAGAUAUCACGCAGAACCCCGAUUGCGAAGGCAGCAUGCCGGCUUCCGACUGACGCUGAAGCACGAAAGCGUGGGGAUCGAACAGGAUUAGAUACCCGAGUAGUC